rnacentral:snRNA from 1 species
GAGUGUUAUGGCUCUUUUAUAAUUUGUCUAGCAGGUUUUCCACUUUUCACCAGAACUGCCUGU